CAUGAGACAAAGGAAUGUGUAGUAUUGGGGAAAGUAGUGGAAUGUGUUAAUUGUAGGGGUGCCCAUGGAGCUGGGGAUCAGAAAUGUCCCGUGCGAGAGAAGCAGGUUGAGGUUUCUAGAGUUAGAGUAUAGCAGAAGUUGUCAUAUGCUGAGGCAGUGGAGAAAGUAGAGGAAGAUGGGAGAAGUGGUGAGAGUAGUAGCGAUAUACCAGUACAGAGGGAUAGGCCAAAAAGUUAAAGAAGUUUCAGUAAGAUUGGAUUUUUAGCAUUUACAGCAAUGGUUAUUAAUUGUACUGCAGGAAUAGAUCGGAAGUCUCAGAAAAUUGUGGUUGCGGUGGCAGCUGCAGAGAGGCAUUUGGGUGUGCAGGAGAGUUACAGGAUGUGGUGACGUCCCAUCCUUUUAGGGUGAUGGCAUGAGGUAGAAAUAAAUACAUUUAAUUAGUGGAAUAGGGGGGUGUUAAUUUUAUUUUAUAUAAUUUUGAAAUGAGUGAAUAUAGUGUUAGAUGGUAGGGUAUUUAUUUAGUACAUUUUUCUAUUUUAAGUAAAGUAUAAGGUCUAGUAGGUGGCAGUAAUGCAACAAAUUGGAUGCCAACCGUCGUUAAACCUCAGAAGAAGAAGAUGAAAGACCUCCAAUCGUCAACAUGACUGGCUGCGUUUUGCUACAAUCAUCAUUUAGUUUUCUAAGGACCCAUAAAAUAGAGGCAGUGGGAGAACCUUUUCAAAUACAGAGAGCUGUCAAAGCCUGUCCGCAGCUGAAGAGGUCCCAGUGAAUGUCCCAAGAGAGUAAGGGUGGUGAAAUGUCUGGAAGCACGAGAUGGGAUCCUUAGCUUAAAACAUACACACAACUACUACUACCACCAAGUCCAAUGCCAGAUACUUUUCUCCAAGAAGGUCUGAGUGGAACUGUGAUAAUGAAGAUUGUUUGACUAAGACUACCACAACAAUUACAUUGUCUAUGCUAAAUGUGUUUAAAUUGUUAAAUAAAAUAAUUAGGCUAUAAGAAAUACUUUCUAUUCAAUGGGACUAGGCAAAGCAAAGAUUACUAUUUUAAUUUCACCCAUACAACAAUGUAGCCUAUUGUUAAAGUACAUUGUUUACAAUAUCAUAAACAGUAUUUUACAUGUUCCAAAUUACAUUUUAUAUAUUCAUACAGUUUAAGGGGGAAAUUUAGUCAUGACAAGGUGAAGGUGCUCUACUCAAAUGGCACAACCGAAUCAUUCAGAUUGACCAAAGCACAUAUAACAACCAUCUUGUAUAAUUGAGAGAAGUCUCCUUUCAUAUUUGGAAAAGGACAAAGUAGAAGUAGAAAUGGAUGCUUCUGCAGCAUUGCUCAUCUUCACAGUGGGAAUCCAGUCAGCAUGGGUGUCUUAAUAACAGAGGUCAGCUGAGGAACCUACAGUAGUACAUAAACAAAUGAAAAGCACACCUGAUGUUAGAAUAUCACUUCUUCAGGUCACCUAUACCAUUAGGGCUCUUAAUUGUUUGGUUGUAUUUAAUUCAUUCUGGUGUUUUACUGCCAUAUAAAGAUUGCAUCUAUUGUUGGGCUGGAACAAGCAAUAGUCAACACAGCAGGUUGUUCUAUCCUAUUGAGGCCUUUUUCCUAUGUUGUAAUGUCCAUACAUUUUCACUCUUAUGAAUAAAGUUCUCAA